rnacentral:rRNA from 1 species
AUUGAACGCUGGCGGCAGGCCUAACACAUGCAAGUCGAACGGUAGCACAAAGAGCUUGCUCUUGGGUGACGAGUGGCGGACGGGUGAGUAAUGUCUGGGAAACUGCCCGAUGGAGGGGGAUAACUACUGGAAACGGUAGCUAAUACCGCACAACGUCGCAAGACCAAAGUGGGGGACCUUCGGGCCUCACACCAUCGGAUGUGCCCAGAUGGGAUUAGCUAGUAGGUAGGGUAAUGGCUCACCUAGGCGACGAUCCCUAGCUGGUCUGAGAGGAUGACCAGCCACACUGGAACUGUGACACGGUCCAGACUCCUACGGGAGGCAGCAGUGGGGAAUAUUGCACAAUGGGCGCAAGCCUGAUGCAGCCAUGCCGCGUGUAUGAAGAAGGCCUUCGGGUUGUAAAGUACUUUCAGCGAGGAGGAAGGCAUUAAGGUUAAUAACCUUGGUGAUUGACGUUACUCGCAGAAGAAGCACCGGCUAACUCCGUGCCAGCAGCCGCAGUAA